rnacentral:rRNA from 1 species
UACGAAGGGGACUAGCGUUGUUCGGAAUCACUGGGCGUAAAGCGCACGUAGGCGGAUGUGUCAGUCAGGGGUGAAAUCCCGGGGCUCAACCUCGGAACUGCCUUUGAUACAGCACGUCUCGAGUCCGGAAGAGGUGGGUGGAAUUCCUAGUGUAGAGGUGAAAUUCGUAGAUAUUAGGAAGAACACCGGUGGCGAAGGCGGCCCACUGGUCCGGUACUGACGGCUGAGGUGCGAAAGCGUGGGGAGCAAACAG